rnacentral:lncRNA from 1 species
ACCAUCUCCUAAAAAUCAUAGACUAUAAAAUAUAAUUUUUUCUUUGCCUUCAAAAUUAAUUCUAAAACAUUAUCUUUUUUCAACUCAUCCAUCUUUGCUUAAUAUAAGAGCUACUAUUUAGCAAUUCUGUAGCACAUUUCUUCUCUUUUUGCUAUGACUUUUUUCACAUUAUUGUUUCUUUCUUUCUUCAUCUCAUACCAUAGCUACUUCUUAUAUUAGAAAGAUUUCACUC